rnacentral:rRNA from 1 species
UGAGGAAUAUUGGUCAAUGGGCGAGAGCCUGAACCAGCCAAGUAGCGUGCAGGAUGACGGCCCUAUGGGUUGUAAACUGCUUUUGUAUGGGGAUAAAGUCAAUCACGUGUGAUUGUUUGCAGGUACCAUACGAAUAAGGACCGGCUAAUUCCGUGCCAGCAGCCGCGGUAAUACGGAAGGUUCGGGCGUUAUCCGGAUUUAUUGGGUUUAAAGGGAGCGUAGGCCGGAGAUUAAGUGUGUUGUGAAAUGUAGACGCUCAACGUCUGACUUGCAGCGCAUACUGGUUUCCUUGAGUACGCACAACGUUGGCGGAAUUCGUCGUGUAGCGGUGAAAUGCUUAGAUAUGACGAAGAACUCCGAUUGCGAAGGCAGCUGACGGGAGCGCCACUGACGCUUAAGCUCGAAGGUGCGGGUAUCGAACAGGAUUAGAUACCCUGGUAGUCCGCACAGUAAACGAUGGAUGCCCGCUGUUGGUACCUAGUAUCAGCGGCUAAGCGAAAGCAUUAAGCAUCCCACCUGGGGAGUACGCCGGCNACGGU